CCAUCACUUUCUGUGUUGAUUUAGUCUGUGCCGACACUGUGUUACCGGUAAACCACUGCAUCUGCCUUUUCAGUUCAUCUCCGACAGUCCCUUCCCUCUGUUCCCAGCAGUCUUCAUGUUCAGCCAAUCAGAGAGAGAGUAAGGUCUGUGACCCCCGGCACUUUAUAUUUUCUUCUAAGCUUUGGAUCCAGCCGGUUGAUUUCUCGCAACACCCCAGAUUCCAGUUCACAAUCCUACCGUUCUGAGGGAAAGAUCAAGCUAAAGAUGCACUUAUUACUGGGUCUGAUGAUCAUGUUUCGCUUUUUUCCAGACAUGAACUCACAAACUCUCCGCCAAUCACCUGCCGCCAUCUCGAAAUCCCCCGGAGAGGGAGUACAACUGACGUGCGUCCUGGAUGGCAGCAGUGCAAAAGCAAUGUACUGGUACAGACAAUUCCCGGGGAAAGAACUGCAGUUGCUGUUUUACUCCGUUACCACCGGUGCUGUGGAUCCAAUGGAGACAGUGGACGGUUUCAUUGCCGAGCGAAUGACAGGGUCCAUGUUCAACCUGAAGACGUCCAGGCUCCAAGCCAAUCACUCAGCCAUGUAUUAUUGCGCCUGGAGUCUUCACAAUGACUCAAAGAGAUAAAGCAGCUGAACAAGAACUCCAAAGGCCGCAGGAAACAUAUCACUAUGAAAAAUAAAACCACGCCUAUUCGGGUUAUUUUGCAACGUCCGCGAGUUUUUACAAUAACAAGAGACAAAAAAGACAGAAAGAAAGUUAACAAAAAUAAAUAAUGUGUUUGAAAGAUAAUUAGACAGAACGCAAAGUAGGAUGUAAAAUUAAACGAAUGAAGGGAGAAUUUAUUUUUAAAAAGAUGUUCUGAAAUGGCAAUGCACUUCUGCAAAAGAACAACAGAGGUCGAUCUAGGAUUAUGAAACAAAAUUCUUCAGUAAAAGCAUACCAGAGGCCAAUAAUCCCUGACGAUACUGGUUACACAACCAUAGGUAGAAGCAAUUUCAACCUCCCUUGAUUUUGUUGUACCAAAGCAGAAAGCCCUACUUUGAUCCUAUUACCUAGACACAGGAAGAUGUCAUUUUGCCUCGAGGCAACAUUAAAAAGAUCAAUUCGUUCAUAAACGCCGCUUUGCUUUUCAACUUGAUCAUGAAAUAAACAU